rnacentral:rRNA from 1 species
AUGACCAAGUCACCAACCGGCCGGACUCCUACCAAGAUUCGCACUAGCCCAAGAUGGUAUCCAUACUUCGAGGAUUACAUUGGGGCAAUAGAUGGUACUCAUGUCACUGUUAGAGUGUUGAAGUCACAAGCUAGAGCAUACAGGGGGAGGAAGUACUACACAAGCCAGAAUGUGCUUGCUGUUGACGACUUUGAUUUGAAGUUCACCUAUGUGCUGGUUGGCUCGAAAGGGUCAGCACAUGAUGCUAACAUUAUCAGUGAUAGUAUGAGUCGUCCUAAUGGCAUCAACAUCCCCGAUGGCAAGUUCUACUAG